GCGGGAGUAGCUCAGCGGUAGAGCGCAACCUUGCCAAGGUUGAAGUCGCGGGUUCAAAUCCCGUCUCCCGCUCCA
rnacentral:tRNA from 1 species